GGUUAAGCGACUAAGCGUACACGGUGGAUGCCCUGGCAGUCAGAGGCGAUGAAGGGCGUGCUAAUCUGCGAUAAGCGCCGGUAAGGUGAUAUGAACCGUUAUAACCGGCGAUACCCGAAUGGGGAAACCCAGUGUGACUCGUCACACUAUCAUUAACUGAAUCCAUAGGUUAAUGAGGCGAACCGGGGGAACUGAAACAUCUAAGUACCCCGAGGAAAAGAAAUCAACCGAGAUUCCCCCAGUAGCGGCGAGCGAACGGGGAGGAGCCCAGAGCCUGAAUCAGCAUGUGUGUUAGUGGAAGCGUCUGGAAAGACGCGCGAUACAGGGUGACAGCCCCGUACACAAAAGCGCAUGUGUUGUGAGCUCGAUGAGUAGGGCGGGACACGUGGUAUCCUGUCUGAAUAUGGGGGGACCAUCCUCCAAGGCUAAAUACUCCUGACUGACCGAUAGUGAACCAGUACCGUGAGGGAAAGGCGAAAAGAACCCCGGCGAGGGGAGUGAAAAAGAACCUGAAACCGUGUACGUACAAGCAGUGGGAGCCCCACCACUAAGCCAGUGGUGAACUCCACAUACGCAUCCUUUGCUGAGGAUACGGUUAACGGAGCGAAAGCGACGUUCAACCGCAAAAGAAGCAGAGGGGGCUUAGUGGUGGGGUGACUGCGUACCUUUUGUAUAAUGGGUCAGCGACUUAUAUUCUGUAGCAAGGUUAACCGUAUAGGGGAGCCGUAGGGAAACCGAGUCUUAACCGGGCGUUAAGUUGCAGGGUAUAGACCCGAAACCCGGUGAUCUAGCCAUGGGCAGGUUGAAGGUUGGGUAACACUAACUGGAGGACCGAACCGACUAAUGUUGAAAAAUUAGCGGAUGACCUGUGGCUGGGGGUGAAAGGCCAAUCAAACCGGGAGAUAGCUGGUUCUCCCCGAAAGCUAUUUAGGUAGCGCCUCGUGAAUUCAUCUCCGGGGGUAGAGCACUGUUUCGGCUAGGGGGCCAUCCCGGCUUACCAACCCGAUGCAAACUGCGAAUACCGGAGAAUGUUAUCACGGGAGACACACGGCGGGUGCUAACGUCCGUCGUGAAGAGGGAAACAACCCAGACCGCCAGCUAAGGUCCCAAAGUCAUGGUUAAGUGGGAAACGAUGUGGGAAGGCCCAGACAGCCAGGAUGUUGGCUUAGAAGCAGCCAUCAUUUAAAGAAAGCGUAAUAGCUCACUGGUCGAGUCGGCCUGCGCGGAAGAUGUAACGGGGCUAAACCAUGCACCGAAGCUGCGGCAGCGACACUCAGGUGUUGUUGGGUAGGGGAGCGUUCUGUAAGCCUGUGAAGGUGUGUCGUGAGGCAUGCUGGAGGUAUCAGAAGUGCGAAUGCUGACAUAAGUAACGAUAAAGCGGGUGAAAAGCCCGCUCGCCGGAAGACCAAGGGUUCCUGUCCAACGUUAAUCGGGGCAGGGUGAGUCGACCCCUAAGGCGAGGCCGAAAGGCGUAGUCGAUGGGAAACGGGUUAAUAUUCCCGUACUUGGUGUUACUGCGAAGGGGGGACGGAGAAGGCUAUGUUGGCCGGGCGACGGUUGUCCCGGUUUAAGCGUGUAGGUGUGUGUUCCAGGUAAAUCCGGUUCACUUUAACACUGAGGCGUGAUGACGAGGCACUACGGUGCUGAAGCAACAAAUGCCCUGCUUCCAGGAAAAGCCUCUAAGCAUCAGGUAACAUCAAAUCGUACCCCAAACCGACACAGGUGGUCAGGUAGAGAAUACCAAGGCGCUUGAGAGAACUCGGGUGAAGGAACUAGGCAAAAUGGUGCCGUAACUUCGGGAGAAGGCACGCUGACACGUAGGUGAAGUGAUUUACUCAUGGAGCUGAAGUCAGUCGAAGAUACCAGCUGGCUGCAACUGUUUAUUAAAAACACAGCACUGUGCAAACACGAAAGUGGACGUAUACGGUGUGACGCCUGCCCGGUGCCGGAAGGUUAAUUGAUGGGGUCAGCGCAAGCGAAGCUCCUGAUCGAAGCCCCGGUAAACGGCGGCCGUAACUAUAACGGUCCUAAGGUAGCGAAAUUCCUUGUCGGGUAAGUUCCGACCUGCACGAAUGGCGUAAUGAUGGCCAGGCUGUCUCCACCCGAGACUCAGUGAAAUUGAACUCGCUGUGAAGAUGCAGUGUACCCGCGGCAAGACGGAAAGACCCCGUGAACCUUUACUAUAGCUUGACACUGAACAUUGAGCCUUGAUGUGUAGGAUAGGUGGGAGGCUUUGAAGCGUGGACGCCAGUCUGCGUGGAGCCGACCUUGAAAUACCACCCUUUAAUGUUUGAUGUUCUAACGUGGACCCGUUACCCGGGUUGCGGACAGUGUCUGGUGGGUAGUUUGACUGGGGCGGUCUCCUCCUAAAGAGUAACGGAGGAGCACGAAGGUUGGCUAAUCCUGGUCGGACAUCAGGAGGUUAGUGCAAUGGCAUAAGCCAGCUUGACUGCGAGCGUGACGGCGCGAGCAGGUGCGAAAGCAGGUCAUAGUGAUCCGGUGGUUCUGAAUGGAAGGGCCAUCGCUCAACGGAUAAAAGGUACUCCGGGGAUAACAGGCUGAUACCGCCCAAGAGUUCAUAUCGACGGCGGUGUUUGGCACCUCGAUGUCGGCUCAUCACAUCCUGGGGCUGAAGUAGGUCCCAAGGGUAUGGCUGUUCGCCAUUUAAAGUGGUACGCGAGCUGGGUUUAGAACGUCGUGAGACAGUUCGGUCCCUAUCUGCCGUGGGCGCUGGAGAACUGAGGGGGGCUGCUCCUAGUACGAGAGGACCGGAGUGGACGCAUCACUGGUGUUCGGGUUGUCAUGCCAAUGGCACUGCCCGGUAGCUAAAUGCGGAAGAGAUAAGUGCUGAAAGCAUCUAAGCACGAAACUUGCCCCGAGAUGAGUUCUCCCUGAGACUUAGAGUCUCCUGAAGGAACGUUGAAGACGACGACGUUGAUAGGCCGGGUGUGUAAGCGCAGCGAUGCGUUGAGCUAACCGGUACUAAUGAACCGUGAGGCUUAACCUU
rnacentral:rRNA from 1 species